CCUCGGUUCACUAUUUUUGUUUUCUUGCUAUGCGAGUUUAAUAUGGAUUAUUGAGACUGCUGGAUAGUGGACACAAUCUUUUCCAAUGUAGGAACCACCAACAUUACCGCGAUGAAUGUCAGGGUAUGGAGCACGCCUAGGAUCCGGUCUUUAUGGUCGAUUACUUCCACGGUCUUGAUCACAUUGGCCGUAUUGCAGCCCAUCUAGGAAUUUCCUGUAUCUUGCUUUGAAAGGCAAGUCUUUCUUCACAAGGCGCCCUCUUGAAUUCCUGUCUGUUGCAUUGAAAAAUUUAGGUCCAUGAAAUCCCGCUAUUUUGUACAGGAUCGGAACGACGAUGUCCUAUCUGGGCUCUCGGGGCUCUCGAUCGCGGGAUCCUUUUGCACCGAUGACUGUAGCUCUUUGGACGAUCUCCUCAGCGGAACGGCUCCUUUAGGAGCCGCCUAAAAGAGUCCCUUCUUGAGACUGUCUUUUCCUAAGCGGGUCCCCUCUCAACAUUCUUCUAGUAGGCUAAAGUCGUUUUAUACCAUCUUAGAUCUUUCUCUGGUCUACUUCUAUAAUCGGUUCUAUGGGCCAAGUGUUCCCGCCUAUGAAUAAUAUUUAACUACUUCUCCUGUUUUGGGAGUCAAUGCCCUGCUGAUAAGCUGUGCCAUUUACUGGAGAAAAAUUUCCAUGUGAACUAUUGCGACCGCUGGAGUGGACAUCUGACACUUGCUUAUUGCUGAACUGCAUUUAACUCAUUUGACUCAUAUUCUCUGCUUCAGAUUCUGGCUGUUUCAUAGGUGAAUCUUCACAGUCUUAUGAUCUUACAUAGAGGGUGUACGUGAGAACAUUUACUAUUAAUUUCAUCCGUAGCCUUUCUUAGCUCUAAGUAAUUUACAUAUUUUACAAAAAUUAAAAAGGCAAAAAUUCAUUGUUAUGUCACAAGAAAAAGUAUGCGAAAAAGCAGCAAAGUUGCCAGCGACAUUGGCGGUUAAAGCAAUUGCAUAACACUUUGAAUACUUAUUGGCACAAGCAAAGAAAAUAUAUACUCUUUUCCAAAUCGAAGGCGUUGUUUCAACAAACUUUCCACGGCUGAAAUGGGCCAA